rnacentral:rRNA from 1 species
GACAGAGGGUGCAAACGUUGUUCGGAUUUACUGGGCGUAAAGCGUGUGUAGGCGGCUUGGCAAGUUGGAUGUGAAAGCCCACGGCUUAACCGUGGAAGCGCAUCCAAAACUGCCUCGCUUGAGUCUCGGAGAGGAAGGUGGAAUGCUUGGUGUAGAGGUGAAAUUCGUAGAUAUCAAGCAGAACACCUGCGGCGAAGCCGGCCUUCUGGACGAUGACUGACGCUGAGACACGAAAGCGUGGGGAGCAAACAGG